rnacentral:rRNA from 1 species
AAGCAUAUAAUUAAGCGGAGGAAAAGAAACUAACCAGGAUUCCCCUAGUAAGGGCGACUGAAGCGGGAAUAGCUCAUCAUGUGAAUCUGUGCCCUUGGCACCGAAUUGUGGUCUAGAGAAGCAUGUGUUUGGCACGCCGGGUCAAGUCCCUUGGAAAAGGGCAGCUGAGAGGGUGAGACUCCCGUUCAUGCCUGGGCUGUGGCCAUUUGACACUUGCUUUCGACGAGUCGAGUUGUUUGGGAUUGCAGCUCAAAGUCGGUGGUAAAUUCCAUCUAAAGCUAAAUAUGGGUGGGAGACCGAUAGUGUACAAGUACCGUGAGGGAAAGAUGCAAAGAACUUUGAAAAGAGAGUUAAAGAGUACCUGAAAUUGCUGAAAGGGAAGCGAAGGAAACCAGUGUUGUUGCUUAGUCAUACUUCUCCUCCUGCUUGCAGGUGGGGCGCUGUGGCUUUGCAGUGGUCAUUAUUGGUUGGUCCCGGCAGAAACCUGGCUGUGGGAGGUAGGUCCUUUUGGACUGAUACCAUGGUCAUGUGUGUCGGGAAUGACUGAUAUUGACGAAAUGG